GCAGCUUGUAAAUGGAGUUGUCAGGGGGAGGUGAGGAUGGGAAGGAGGAUCUCUGCCUGGUUCUUGUUGCAGAGCCAGGAAUGGGGCUCCUUAUAGGGCCGUUGGUCAUGGGAGUUUCCUGAGCUGGGUCAUGUAGUCACAGCUUGGGAGAAGCUUUAUUCCUGUUGACAACCCAAAAGUAAUCUGUCAAGAAGAGAUUCCAGGACUUGCAGGCCAAUAUUUCAGUGCUUCACACAGGACUAAGCUGCAUAAGCACUGGGACAGGACCAGUGUGACCAUGGGAUGGAGGAUCAGGUCAGGAUCCAUUAGAGGAUGGAGCUGCUAAGCCGUGCUCCUUUGUCUCCAUGGAGCUGCGAGGACAAGUUCCUUCAGUGUUAAAGCUUUGUGAGAUAACCCCAUGCAAGCAUCUGACUGCAUAUUAGCAUCAGGUAAUUGCUGCAUGAGUCAUGGGCAGGACAUCCUUUGCAGGACCCAGCAACUGACUCAAAUCAGAGGGAAUAUUUUUUUGGUGGGAUAAGUAUCAGACCUGAUUCUGUAACCAUUACUCACCCCUAGUAGCAUUAGUUCAAUAAGUCUAUUCAUGUAAGUAAGCCUUCACUGAUGUGAGUAAUGGUGGCAGAUCCUGGCCCUGAGUUAGUACAUGAAACCUUCCCAAGCUCAGGAGAAAGCGUCAUGACUCAGAUCUAGCUUUAAAAAGAGAAGUUUUAAAUCCCAAGUUAUGAUGUGCCAUUUGG